rnacentral:rRNA from 1 species
UACGUAGGGUGCAGGCGUUAAUCGGAAUUACUGGGCGUAAAGCGUGCGCAGGCGGUUUUGUAAGCCAGAUGUGAAAUCCCCGGGCUUAACCUGGGAAUGGCAUUUGGGACUGCAAGGCUCGAGUGCGGCAGAGGAGACUGGAAUUCCUGGUGUAGCAGUGAAAUGCGUAGAUAUCAGGAGGAACACCGAUGGCGAAGGCGGCUCACUGGCCCGGUGACUGACGCUGAGGUGCGAAAGCGUGGGGAGCAAACAGG